UUUCCGUAGGUGAACCUGCGGAAGGAUCAUUCAUAAUAAGUGUUUUAUGGCACUUUUUUAAAUCCAUAUCCACCUUGUGUGCAAUGUCAGGGUUGAUUUUUCUCUCGAGAGGAUCAACCCCAAACAUCAACUAUAUCUCAACUCUUUGUCUGAAAAAUAUUAUGAAUAAAACAAUUCAAAAUGCAACUUUCAACAACGGAUCUCUUGGCUCUC
rnacentral:misc_RNA from 1 species